UACUAUUCCCGUGUAAAUGUGACUGGAUAUGAACCCGGGUUCCUAUGAACCUUGUGGUAUCUAUUGUCUCCGCUUGUAAUUUUACUGUGUGAGUUUCUGUGUUUGGAUCUACAGUAAGUUGGUUGUAUAUGCAUCGUCUUGUUUAUACUUUCAAGAAUUUUACUUAGGCAGAUUUGAUUUGUUUGCGACUUUGGGUUGGACUUAAACCGGUUGAUCCAGUUUCGUUAUGAUUUUAAUGGUAUAGUUCUCCCAAAAGAGCGCAGAUUGGUGUUAUAUCUCUCAACCAUCUUUAUAGCCCGCCAGAAUCCAGGUAAGGAUGAAUGUUCUUCUGAUACCAGGUGAUUAUCUAUGAUCGGGAUAAACUGUGCUUGUCCUCAAGCUUCAUCACCAUGCUUAUCGCCUGUUAUUUAAAGGACAUGCAAUUAUUUUAGGAAUCAGAUCGCUACUUCUCUUCGCUUGUAAAAAUGAUCAGUGAUAUUACAUUUAUAAGCCCUACCAAAGGCAAAAGAUUCAAGUCAAAACCUCAUGGGAACUUUGGCAAAUGUCCUUCCCGAAACCUUCAUCAAUACCCAAAAAUGUCCUAUGCUAAAGCUGUCAGGGAAUCUAAAGCGCUAGGAGCAAACUUCCUAGCAAAGAGGAAACAAAGUGAAUGAGUUUGAUCAUUGUAACUGCAUGAGGAGUCUUCCUAGAUUUUCUUGAAAAAUUCCUUUGUGCAGAGUGGGGACCGCCUCUCGACCAGUCCACCACCCAAGUGAGGCUUCUAUUUGCCAGCAAAUCCGGAGAUUGGAUGGUCAGCAUCCUAGGGAAGUAGUGUUCAUCCACAGAAAAUCAUCCUCUUCCAUAUAGGGACCGUCCUCAUCGAAAGAUCCAAUUAAGCUGUACUUGGUAUAGACAGUGGUGAGGUCCUGGAUUGGGAUGCGCGAUUCAGAGACAAGGAAGAACCAUUCAUUGGACAUAUCAAGCAGCGCGUUUACCAAGAGUCUACUUUCUGCAUCACACAUGCUUAUCAACCCCCACUCCACCACCUUAUCAGCACAAACAGGGAGAACACCAAAAGUGCUUUAUUGCUUGGACUCACAGAAAAUUACUUUAAGAUAGAAUAAGUACUUGUUGAAGGACCAGAUGUGGGAUUAUAAAGUUUCUUGAAGAUUGACAUGGACUAGAACCUAACAAAAGAUUCUAGAUGCAAUUCUUGAGACAAGAUGAGGGCAGAACAAGGCUGAAGUUACGCCAUCGAUCUGUUGCUUUUGUUGAGUCCUAUUCUUUUCAAGAAGAACGCUCGAAAGCACCGGAGAAAAUUCUAAAGCGUUAGCGGACUCGCAUGAUGUAGGUAGGCUUUGCUCUGGGUGGCUACUGGCAGAAAGAGAUGGCACAUGUUAGAGAUGUCAUAUUACAUCUAGCAUAUGAGGGGGUAGAUUCCCAGCAAAGGCUUUGCAACAUUGCCUAUUUUUUGGUUGCAUCUUUUUGGAUUGGAAUUGGCAAUUUUGUGUAUUAUUAACGUAUAUUUUUUCAUAUACUCAAGCUUCGUCACCAUUUCUGAAGAAAGAAGGAAUGGAGAGUUAUAUGAGUAA